UUCUUAAGAGACAGGGUCUUGGGCUGGGCGUGGCGGCUCAUGUCUGUAUCCCAGCAAUUUGAGAGGCCGAGGUGGGUGGAUCACUUGAGGUCAAGAGUUUGAGACCAUCCUGGCCAACACGGUGAAAAUGAUUGGAAAAUGAUCAGAAGUAAAAAGAUUUGCCCAAAGUAGCAUACAAAUUCAAUUUCUAUGGGUCCUAUAUGGAUUCAUUUAUUCACCUAACAUGUUUACUGAAUAUCUACUAUGCUACUAUGUGCCAGCAAUUGUUCUAGGAGCUGGGGAUACAAUACCAAACCAAAGUUCCUGUCCUCAUGGAGUUUAAUGAACAGUUUA
rnacentral:antisense_RNA from 1 species